GACGAACGCUGGCGGCGUGCUUAACACAUGCAAGUCGAACGGAAAGGCCCUGCUUUUGUGGGGUGCUCGAGUGGCGAACGGGUGAGUAACACGUGAGUAACCUGCCCUUGACUUCGGGAUAACUUCAGGAAACUGGGGCUAAUACCGGAUAGGAGCUCCUGCUGCAUGGUGGGGGUUGGAAAGUUUCGGCGGUUGGGGAUGGACUCGCGGCUUAUCAGCUUGUUGGUGGGGUAGUGGCUUACCAAGGCUUUGACGGGUAGCCGGCCUGAGAGGGUGACCGGCCACAUUGGGACUGAGAUACGGCCCAGGCUCCUACGGGAGGCAGCAGUGGGGAAUAUUGCACAAUGGGCGGAAGCCUGAUGCAGCAACGCCGCGUGCGGGAUGACGGCCUUCGGGUUGUAAACCGCUUUCGCCUGUGACGAAGCGUGAGUGACGGUAAUGGGUAAAGAAGCACCGGCUAACUACGUG
rnacentral:rRNA from 1 species